rnacentral:lncRNA from 1 species
AUGGUGGUUAUUGAUGGGAAGGCCAUUUCCUUUGGGUUUAUGGCUUCGAAUUUAGGUCCCUUGUUGAUUUCCCUCCCUAUUUUCACACUCACAGGACAGUUCUACGCAUUUACUUGGCAAACAAAGAAGCAGGAGGCACUGUGUGGGGCUGAUUCCUCAAGAGGAAGCAAGCAAGAGGCCACAGGUGACAGAGAGUGCAUAUGUGCCCUCACAUUCCUUCAACAUGCGCUGAAUGUGUGUCCCUGCCCUGUGCAAGGUAAUGGAUUUACAGCUGUGAGCAUGAGCCUCUUCACUGUGUUGAAUAAGGCAAUUUGCUCCACUUUUCACCCAUGCCAAUUCAACAGCGCUACCACAGAAUGAUUCUUAAGGACCAAUUUUUCCAUGCCCUGAUUUUGGUUGCAGCCGGUUUUCCAUGAUGUUUUGAUGUUUGUGGUCCUUAUUUGACUCUGUUAGGAAGACGACCAACUUGAAGAACACCUGCAGUGUCUGAGGCUCAGCAUCGAACUUUUCCAUGUGCCUCUUUUCAAUCCUCCCACUGUGUACUAACCACAAGUAUGCAUGCCCGAAGACUGGAUACUAAUCAAAAGAGAAAACUGGGCUGGUUGCGGCUUAAAGUCUUAGUAGGAAAUUCCUCCAGCCGCUGGGGCAUGUGUUGAACACAUGACUACUGCUGGUGAUGGCAGAAGCUCUACACCAGCUGACUACCAGCAACUUGGAAGUUUAGUUCUUUUUCUUUCGCAUUUCCACUUAACUUGCAGUAUUAUCAGAAUGAAAUGUGUGCAUAAUUUAAAAAAAUCAAAUGACUCUACAAAGCCUGUAAUGAAAGCUUCUACCCCGUCUGAUUUACACUCCUUGAAUAUCCAUUUUAAAAUCUGUUCAUUGUCUUUGUCUUCAUGUUUGUAAAUGAGCAGCUUCGCUCCUGCUGCUUGCUUUUUCAGAUUUAGAUAGAUGAAUUGACUCCCCCAGUAUAGAACACAAAAACACAAAAUUUAGCUUUACUGCAUUAACAUCCUCCUGCAGACACGGACGUGCACACCUAGACAUAGUAUUGGUUAGUUUUUGCUGUGUAAGAAGACAUCCCCAAACAUACUGGCUGAAACCACCCAUUUGUGUAUCCACAGUUCUGUGGAUAAGCAAUUUGAACUGAACUGGGCUGGGCAACCCUGAUCUUGGCGGAGUGCAUGGUCAGAUGUGGUUAGUCACUGGGGUGGCAGGGGCUGGCUGGCCCAAGUGGCCUCAGCUGCAGGGGGUUCUUCCACACUCCAUGUGUUCCUCCAUCCUGUAGCAGGUGGGACUGGGCUUGUUCACACAGAGGAUGGGCAGGGUUCCAAGGGUCCGAGUGGAAGCACGGGAAGCUUCUUAAGACCUAGGAUCUGAACUGGCUUUCUGGUACUCACACCAUGUUUACUCACAAGGCCAGCUGGAUGUGAACAUGGGAGGAAAUAGACUCCACCUCUUCACAGGAGAUGCUGUAGAGUCGCUUUGUGAAGACUACAGGGAGAGGAGAACUGUGGCCAUUUCUGCAGUCAACCACACACAAGCAGUAUAUGCACAGCUGUGUACUCUUCCUCACCACCAUUCUCUUUACGUAAACAUAUCAUAUCCUAUAUCACCAAUCGGAGUUACCUGAACAUUUUGUAUUGACUCUACUAUAAUGAUGGACUUAUAUUUACAACUGGACCUCAUAGUGAACUGGGGUUAUAAGUUCUUUAUUAUAGAAGGAUUUUUCCUCUGAUCCUCAGAGCAAUUGCCUUGUUGCCUUGCGCUGCUUGCGCAAGUUUUUCUAUGUACUUACCACUAAUUUGGCUCCAAACUUUGCAGUAAGUGUUCACUGGCUAAGAACCAGAUACAACAGGUGAAUGAUGAGCUCUUCCCCAACUCCCUUGGGGUCAUCUCUCUAGAGAUCCCAUCCUUCUCUGCCAAUCCAGACUGGGUCUUCUUUGGGCCUGUUGCAUGGUAAUCACAUGAGGCUCUCUUGGCUAAUUUCUUCUGCAGAAUGCCCUGCUUCUUAGCCACUAGCAUCUUCUUUCUGAGUUGUCUCCUCAUCUUAAAGGGUAUUCACCAGCAGAUUCCUGAAAAGUGGUGCAUAGGCAGCCACUUUUUGAGAUUUUGAAUGUCUGAAAUGCUACCCAAUUUGCAGACUUGUUUAACAGCAUGGAUGGAAAUUCCAAGGUGAACAUUAUUCUCUUCAGAAUUGUCAAGGCACUGUAUUUCUCCUUCCGAAAAUAUUUUGUAAGACCUCCAGGAUCAUUCUGAUGUCUGAUCCUUUGUCCACCAUCAGGUUUUUCUUCUCUAGAAUGUUUUAUUUAAUUAAUUAAUUAAUUAAUUAAUUAAUUUAAAUAGUUAUUUCCCCGAUAAAAUUUUUUUCUACUGUACAGCAUGGUGACCCAGUUACACAUACAUGUACACAUUCUAUUUUCGUACAUUAUCACACGCCAUCAUAAAUGACUAGACGUAGUUCCCAGUGCUAUACAGCAGGAUUGCUCAAAUAUUUUAGAAUCAUCUCUGUUACUUGGACUUUUGGGGAAAAAAAAAGGCAAUGGUGUAUCUCCAUGGGGGUCUUUUUCCAUUCAAGUUGUAGGCAUUUUGAUGCAAGUCGAUAACAUUUCUACCUUCUCCUGGGACCCCUGUGUGAUAUCCCUUACAGAUACUCUAAUUUUUUAAAUCUUCUCUUUCUCUUAUUUUAAAAACCGUUUUCAUUUGUUCCACUUUUAUGAAAGUGUUUGUUGUUGUUAUUUUUGUUGGUGGUGGUGAUAUUUGAGCUGCAUGGUUGAUAAGGUUAUUGUCUUUAUCUGAAAAAUCUUCGUGGAGGAUUGUGGUUUGGUCUCUCUCUCACUGGUCAACUCCUGAGCUCUGAGGAAGCUUGCCUUCUUCUGAGCUACCCGAUCCUUCUUCUGAGCAAGAGACAUUCUGGAACAGUCCCACCUCUUCUUUUGAACUUCACCCUGCUUGCCACAGUUACCAUAGGAUCUGUGCUACUUUCACUUGGGCUGAUUAGUUUACCCAAAGAGGAAGGCUCUUUCCUUCUACCAGUGUCUGUGCACCUGGGCAGCCAGCCUUCCAGGAGCAAGAGGAAGAUGGUGCUGAUGGUGCUCCUAUUUGGUUUGAAGACACCCCCCUAACCUCCUUGGUUUCCAUAUGUGACGAGUGCCCUCAGCUGUGUCCAGGGCUCCCUAGUCUAGAAUGUUCUCACUCAACCUUUUAUGGGAAUAAACCUCCAGACAUGUACUGGGUAGGAACA